CCUACGGGUGGCAGCAGUGGGGAAUAUUGCACAAUGGGGGAAACCCUGAUGCAGCGACGCCGCGUGAGCGAUGAAGCAUUUCGGUACGUAAAGCCCUAUCAGCAGGGAAGAAAAUGACCGUACCUUACUAAGAAGCCCCGGCCAACUACGUGACAGCAACCGCGGUAAUACGUUGGGGGCAAGCGUUAGCCGGAGUUACUGGGGGGAAAGGGAGCGUAGACGGCGAUGCAAGCCAGGUGUGAAAGCCCGGGGCUCAACCCCGGGACUGCGUUUGGAACUUAAUAGCUGGAGUGUCGGAGAGGCAGGCGGAAUUCCGAGUGUAGCGGUGAAAUGCGUAGAUAUUAGGAGGAACACCAGUGGCGAAGGCGGCCUGCUGGACGAUGACUGACGUUGAGGCUCGAAAGCGUGGGGAGCAAACAGGAUUAGAUACCCUUGUAGUC
rnacentral:rRNA from 1 species